UGAAAUUCGCAGAAAAUUUAAAUCGUGGGC
rnacentral:piRNA from 1 species